UGCCCUGGGCCCGGAGGGGCCUGCUCCCGGGCCGUGGUGUAAAUCGCAAAUGACUUCAGGCAGUUGAUUUAGAGAGCAGUGCCUGCCAGCUUCUCGUGUUACAAAAACACCGGCUCUCCGCAGGACAAGCCUGACACGAGUGCUCCUGUCUCCUGGCUGACAGGCUGCAGCAGGCGCUGGGCAUCACCUCCACCUGGACUUAAAAGCACAGAGCUGUUCCCAGCCCUGAGCACCAGCCAGGCUCUGCUUGAUGAUUAAUGCUCUGCAUGUGUUUUUGAUAGAGUUGGGCAUUUCCUCUGCUAUUAUAUGGAAAACAUGUGUCUGGGGGAGUGAUGUGGGGCUGUGUGGACUAUCUCUGUAACUGUGAGUGGUAACUGACCCCUUUGACUUGGGGAUGCCCCAUUUCCAGGCAAGAUGCAAGCCCUAGAUAGAGGCAGGUGUGUAGCCGUACAGGCGCUGAGCCUGCCUUCCCUUCCACCAGCCGUAGUGUGACCUUUCUGUGCUGGAGGUACCGAGGGCAGGACUGAGCCCACCUUGUGUUCAGAGAAGCACUCGCAGGACCUGUCUGUCUGGGAAUCGCAUCAGACCAACUCCUGCUGCUGGUUGGCCUGCGUGGAGCUGAUGCAGACCGGUAACGCAUCACCUGUAAGAGCUGAGGCUGUUCCAGCUUAGCAGAGUCUUCCUUUUCUGCUGAAGCAGUUGGUUUGGAAAGCGCAUUAGAAAAAAAGACUUUGCUGUAGGCUAAUGGAGAACACGUAGCAGAUCCAGGAGUGAAAGACAAGACGAACCUAUUUGCUAAUGGAGUUUAAAUAGCCUAGUAUAAAGCAGAUAUGCCAUGCUUGGA